rnacentral:rRNA from 1 species
UACGUAGGGUGCAGGCGUUAAUCGGAAUUACUGGGCGUAAAGCGUGCGCAGGCGGUUUCUUAAGUCAGAUGUGAAAGCCCCGGGCUUAACCUGGGAACUGCGUUUGAAACUGGGAGACUUGAGUGUGGCAGAGGGGGGUGGAAUUCCACGUGUAGCAGUGAAAUGCGUAGAUAUGUGGAGGAACACCGAUGGCGAAGGCGGCAUCCUGGACCGGCAUUGACGCUGAGGAGCGAAAGCCAGGGGAGCAAACGGG